AUGGUGGAGGCAUUAGUUUGUGGUGCAAGUUAUAUCAAGGGUGCUCACGUUGACUUGAAUCUGGUGCCGAGGGAUGAGAAUGAAGAGGAUGAUGUUGAGACCAUCAAGUUACCCAUUGUGGUGGAGGAGAUCAACGAUUGACGUUCAUCAUGUGGAUGUUGAUCUUGCUAUUCUGGAGAUGGAUGU